rnacentral:rRNA from 1 species
AUUGAACGCUGGCGGAAUGCUUUACACAUGCAAGUCGAGCGGCAGCACGGGGGCAACCCUGGUGGCGAGCGGCGAACGGGUGAGUAACACAUCGGAACAUGCCCAGUCGUGGGGGAUAACACUUCGAAAGAAGUGCUAAUACCGCAUACGUCCUGAGGGAGAAAGCGGGGGAUCGCAAGACCUCGCGCGAUUGGAGUGGCCGAUGUCAGAUUAGCUAGUUGGUGGGGUAAAGGCCUACCAAGGCAACGAUCUGUAGCUGGUCUGAGAGGAUGAUCAGCCACACUGGGACUGAGACACGGCCCAGACUCCUACGGGAGGCAGCAGUGGGGAAUCUUGGACAAUGGGGGAAAGCCUGAUCCAGCAAUUCCGCGUGAGUGAAGAAGGCCUUCGGGUUGUAAAGCUCUUUCGGCAGGAACGAAACGGUGAGCUCUAACAUAGCUUGCUAAUGACGGUACCUAAAGAAGAAGCACCGGCUAACUACGUG